UUCUCCUGCCUCAGCCUCCCGAGUAGCUGGGACUACAGGCGCCCGCCACUGCGCCCGGCUAAUUUUUUGUAUUUUUAGUAGAGAGGGGGUUUCACCGUGGUCUCGAUCUCCUGACCUCGUGAUCCGCCCGCCUCAGCCUCCCAAAGUGCUGGGAUUACAGGCGUGAGCCACCGCGCCCGGCCAGUUCAAUGGAUUUUAAAAAUUAUUAUUCUCUAGAAAAAAGACCACGAACUUUGGAGUGGACAUCCUGAGACCUGCCUACGAAGACCAUUAGGUGGCCUCCAGAAGACACUCCCCUGAUUCCUACACCGAGGGAACACACAGCAGCAAGCUAGGAAAGAAGGGGUGACCCAGCCCAACGCUGUAAACCAGGGCGCGAACCGGCGUUGAGCUGUGCAGCUGCGCCCUGGGCUCCAGUCCUGCUCUGCCGCAGACCCCACCGGAGCCAGCACCUGCCUCCCCGACCCUCGCUGGGGCGGCUGUGAGAUGAGCCCAGAGCCUUCCUGAGCCAACCCUCGCAAGGAAAGUCUGUCUGUUCACCCCACUAUCCUUGUCUUGAAGGAUGAAGAAAAGAGGGCCCCCCGGGAGGUCCCAAAAGGUGGAAUGGACAUCUGGGAUCCAAGCACAGCAAUUUCUUUAUUUUUCUUAAGCCUCUCACUAGAGGAUGAAAAUCGUUCUGCAUAAAGGCCUGGGCUUUAUGAAAAAUAUAUUCACACCUCCCGUGUCCGAGCUGGGAUACCAAAGAAGUUCCUGGUUGAGUACUACUUAUGAAUGAAGGAUUCAGGGGAUGCACAGGACACAGAGGAAUCUGGGGGAUAUUAUGGUUCUGGGAAUGUGGAAUGUAACGUCUCAUCUUCAGCCCAUCUGUGCUACUGAUCAUCUCAUUCCAGAAGCCAUGCCUUCUCUCAGGAGCAGACAGCACAAGACUUUCCUGCCAGAGGCACAGUCCCCAGUGGGAGUAGCAUCCACAUAAGACAGGAUGCAGAGAUGUCUUCAAGCAGCUUCAAACAAAACUUCAAGAAAGAAAGUGCAAGUGAAAAAGGAAAUUCAUCCUUCCAGUCACUUAACACAGCACUGUCACGGACACCUUGUGCCUCCUUAAAAUUCGUAUACUGAAGUUCUAAGCCCCAGUACCCCAGAAUGUGACCUUCUUUGGAAAUAGGGUCAUUGCAGAUAUGAUUAGUUAAGAGGAGAUCAUACUGGAGUGGGCUUUAAUCCAAUAUGACUGGUGUCCUUAUGUAAAGGGGAAAUUUGGACACAGACACACACAAGGAGAACACCAUGUGAACUGAAGUCAAAGAUUUGGGUGAUGCUUCUACAAGCCAAGAAAUGCCAAAGAUGACCAGCAAAGCACCGGCAGCUGGUGGAGGAGCCUGGACCAGAUUCUUCCUCACAGCCCUCAAAAGGAACCAAUCUUGCCAAAGCUUUGACUUAGACUUCUAGCCCCCUGUGAUGGUUAAUGUUAAGUGGCAGCUUGACUGGGUUAAGGGAUGCCCAGAUAGCUGGUAAGACAGUAUGUCUGUGUGCAUCUCUCAGAGUGUUUCUGGACAAGAUCAGCAUUUGAAUCCUUAGAGUAAAGAAGAUCUGCCCUCACCCACGUGCAUCACCCUAUCUCUGGAGAGCGCGAACAAACAGGAGGAAGGGCACAUAUGCUCCUUCUGUUCCAGCUGGCACAUCCAUCUUCUCCUGCCCCCUGACUUCAGAGCUCCUGGUUCUCGGGCCUCAGGAUUCCAGCACUUACAUGAGAGCGUGCUUCCCCCUCCCUACUCCACCCCUAGGUUCUCCGCCCUUUGGCCUCUGACUGAAUUCCACCACCAGCUUUUCAGGGUCUCCAGCUUGCAGACGGCAGAUCGUGGGACUUCUUGGCCUCCAUAAUUAUGUAAGCCAAUUCCCAUAAUAAAUCUCCUAUCUAUCUAUCUAUCUAUCCAUCUAUCAAUCAUCUAUCUAGUCUAUCUAUCUAUCUAUCUCUAUCCUAUUGAUUCUGUGUCUCUGAGGAACCCUAAUACACCUCCAGAACUGUGAGAUGAUACAUUUCUGUGGUUUAAGCCACUCAGAAGGUGGUACUUUGUUUCACCAGGCCUAGCAAACUAAUACAAGUGCAUGGAAGGUGACUACUCAUGACUGCAACUUAGAGAACAAGGGUUAUAAUAAAAAUAAAAGUGUUAUACAAAGGUGGCAAGAUAAAUGACAAUAAAUGAAAAUAUUAACAUGUGAAUUAAAAAGUAAAGAUAUUUUUCCUAGCAUUCUCCCAGAAAGUAGAGACGCGUCUCUCUUGUUUGCCAUCAUAUCCAGCAAUGGCAAGAUAAGUUCUAGGCACUUCAUAAAAAUUUGUUGAAUGAAAG
rnacentral:lncRNA from 1 species